CUCGUGUCGUGAGAUGUUGGGUUAAGUCCCGCAACGAGCGCAACCCUUAUUCUUAGUAGCCAGCAGGUAAAGCUGGGCACUCUGGGAAGACUGCCAGGGAUAACCUGGAGGAAGGUGGGGAUGACGUCAAAUCAUCAUGCCCCUUAUGAUUUGGGCUACACACGUGCUACAAUGGCGUAAACAAAGGGAGGCAAAGGAGUAAUCUGGAGCAAACCCCAAAAAUAACGUCUCAGUUCGGACUGUGGUCUGCAACCCAACCACACGAAGCUGGAAUCGCUAGUAAUCGCGAAUCAGAAUGUCGCGGUGAAUACGUUCCCGGGUCUUGUACACACCGCCCGUCACACCAUGGGAGUCAGCAACGCCCGAAGUCAGUGACCUAACCUUAUAGGGAGGAGCUGCCGAAGGCGGGGCCGGUAACUGGGGUGAAGUCGUAACAAGGUAGCCGUAUCGGAAGGUGCGGUUGGAUCACCUC
rnacentral:rRNA from 1 species